rnacentral:tRNA from 1 species
UGGCUCAGUGGAAAGAGCCUGGACUUGGAAGUCAGAGGUCAUGGGUUCAAAUCCCAA